GGCAGUUCCCCAUCUCACUAGGGUAUUCUCCUCUCUUCCUUGGCAGAAAUGAAUCAAGGUUAUUUUUCUUCCAAUGCCGCCGAAAUUUUUCAUCCCAUCGCUAAUUGGCAAACGCUUCAAAGGGUUAGGCACAAAUUAUCGUUAUUGUUCAUAAUAUUUUAUAAUUGUCUUUUUCGUUUCUUCCCCUGAUUAUUAUUUCUUUAAUUUGUUCAUCAAUUAUGAUUUUCGAACCCUACUUAGGGAAGAAUUGUGGCCAAAAUCAAAGAGGCGUUGGCAAUAAUCGAGUUAUGAUCAAUUGAAUCUGCGUCGCUCUUCAAAUUGAUAGUCUGGGACUGAAACCCAAAUGGAUCGAACCCAUGUGAAAAAAUCACACUCGCGAUUUUGGGAUUUUGUUACGGAAGGAUCAUAUGUUAUUGCUCGUGGAUUAGGUUAAGAAAUAUGCUUCAGUUGUUCUGAUUCACAUCAACUGUAUUUAAUUUAAGUUGAUGUAGUUCUUUUUAAGAGGUUGUAUACAUUUACUUCAGUUCAUUCUUAUUUCUGAUAAUUGCAUUUAAAUUAUUUUGACAGGAUUGUUAUCUAGUCCAUGUUUGGAGUCGAUGUCAAGUUAAACAUAUUUGUGUUAUCUGCUGCAAAGAAAUUAGUUCAGGUACAUUUGUCCAUUUUUUAAGUUUCAAUGCAUUUACAUUGAAUUCGAGAUGUGUAAUUCAUGUUCCAGAAAAUUAAGGGUGGCUCGAUUCAAAUUAUGGAAAUUAGAUAUAUCUAUUCAUUCUUUUAUUUUACUUGAAUGUACUAAUCACUAAUUCACGAGGCUGUACCAGAAAUGAAAAUAUAUUUUGCAGCUCAAAGCAACCUCUAUGUGACCACUUAGUAUUCUCUAGUGAAACAAGCUAGUCAAUUUGAAGAGUACUUCUCAAAUGAUCAGGCAAGUUAUUUUACCUGGUUAAUAAGUAUACAGUGAUGCACAUAUAUUUGUUUUCGGUUUUGUGGCAGGAAGCUGCAAAUUAAACUAUGUUCUAUUACUCUAUUGCAGGUGAAAACACCUUUAGAAGAGCAAAUAACAAAUUCUUUUCAAUCCACCUUUGUAAAAGUAGCGUGUCGAUUUCGGAGUUGAUAUUUCACAAAAAAAGUUAUGCGGAAUGCAGAAUAAGACAUUUGCUUCCUUUUUUAUGUAUAGUUUGUUAGGUGUUUUUGAAGACUGUUGUUCGAGGAUAGUGAUAGAGGGAGGACCAACUUCCAGAUGAUUAUUCAUGAUUAUGUAUUCAUACAACUAUCUGGCCUUUAAUGAUUAAUUGUAUUGAUGUGUAAUUAUUUUAGCAGCAAAUGAAGUGUAUAUAUAAUUAAUAUCAUAUAUAAU
rnacentral:lncRNA from 1 species